rnacentral:rRNA from 1 species
UACGGGGGGAGCAAGCGUUGUUCGGAUUUACUGGGCGUAAAGGGCGCGUAGGCGGCCAGCACAAGUCAGUUGUGAAAUCUCCGGGCUUAACUCGGAAAGGUCAACUGAUACUGUGCGGCUAGAGUGGCAGAAGGGGCAACUGGAAUUCUCGGUGUAGCGGUGAAAUGCGUAGAUAUCGAGAGGAACACCUGCGGCGAAGGCGGGUUGCUGGGCUGACACUGACGCUGAUGCGCGGAAGGUCAGGGGAGCAAACGGG